rnacentral:lncRNA from 1 species
UUUGAUCAUGUACAAUACAUGAUCAGUGAUUGAUGCCCCUUCUCUCAUCCAGACAUUGAAAAUGGCAUAACUACUCUUGUGUCGCUCAAUGUCAUCGGGAGUGUCGAAGGACUCGUUUGACACUUGAAGUAUUUCAACACUUGAAGUAUGUCCUCCGAUUAAGCAUCCUUGAAAUUGCGAUUGAACUCGUCAUUCAUCACAACCCACAUAAUGCAAUGCACUGUGA